AUUCCCAGCUCCAAUAGCGUAUAUUAAUGUUGUUGCAGUUAAAAAGCUCGUAGUCGGAUUUUUGUGUCAUGUCGAACUGUCUGCCGAUUGGUUUGUACGGUUUGACGGGCAUAUUCCUUCCAGAGGCUCCGUGAGGCCUUCAUUGGUUUCGCGGUUGAAUCUGGGUCUUUUACUUUGAAAAAAUUAGAGUGUUCAAAGCAGGCCUAUGCUCGAAUAGGUUAGCAUGGGAUAACAGAAUAGGACUUCGGUCUUAUUUUGUUGGUUUCUAGGACCGAAGUAAUGAUUAACAGGGACAGUUGGGGGCAUUCAUAUUCCAUUGUCAGAGGUGAAAUUCUUGGAUUAACGGAAGAUGAACUUCUGCGAAAGCAUCUGCCAAGGAUGUUUUCAUUA
rnacentral:rRNA from 1 species